rnacentral:lncRNA from 1 species
UUAAUUGAUCGGUAACUGUCCGCAUGUUACGCACAAUUCGCUAGGCUCGACUGCAUGGGACGUGCAUUCAUGGGCCAAGCUAUAGCUGGCUGUGCAUCGAUUCGCCGGUUAGAUUACCAUCAGCAAAGAUUGGAUCCGAGGCAACAAUUCUUCGUAACAAUCCUUUGCGUUGAUAUCAUGUAAUUUAAAGAUCAAGAUAUGGAACGAGUACAACAGUAGCAAAGGGACAUAGGAAUAAUUUAUGUAUCUGCAAAGACUAUGCCCCUCAUGUAAAGUAGCCAGAGAUAAACACAUGAGAAUAUGUUCUCCGCUAAGGAAUGGUGGUGGCAACCUGAGCGUGGCCUAUUUGUACAUAGAUUUCCUUACAUUACCUGGGAGUCCUAGUUCAUCGGAGUUAUGAACCGAAUUCAAGCAUAGCUUAUGACCUACUUGAACGAGCGAAGCCCAUGUUGACGCUCAUUCUGGCAAAGUAAUCUUUCCCACUUAUUUGAGGAAAAGCUACGUCUGUUCUUCUGUCUGUUUUUGAACUGAAUUUAACCAUAGUGAUGAUAACCUUUCAACCCACCGUGAGUUGGGUGGGGAUGUGCACGGCUUGUUUUGGACGCUCUGUCAUGUCAGCAUGAUAUCUCCUACAAGGGGGAUGCUGGCUGAAGCAAAGAUGUGAAGAAAAGGAGAAGUUUGGAAAACAGAGUUCAUUUUCCCUCUUAAGUGCCACAAUCAUAUGGCGAAACGCACUUGAAUUUAACCAUGGCUGAUCAACUAGACAGAAUUUGAAAGAGUUUGAACACAAGAUGAUCUCAAGAAAAUUAGAAAUCACCUUUUCUAAGCAGAUUUUGACAUCCUCAAAAUCUCAUACUCUCCCUAUAGUAAAAACAAAUUUCUCACAGCAAUAUGGCAUUACAGUAAGAAGAAAAGGCUCAUUCUAUUGCCUCCUCCUCCAUCUCACCCUAUUCCAACCUUGUAGGAGAUACCAUGCCAGAACCAAAACAAAGUAGGUUCCCAGAUUACCGAUCUCCUAGAACAAUGAUUUUUAGACUUAAGCCACCAAAAAGCAUAUAAGAUUCUUUCGAUACAUCUAAAUGGAGUGACAAAGGUGAGUGGAGAGUUGACUAAAGUCCACAUCUCCCCUUACCCUCGAGCACAUUCUAAGAGAUAGAAGGCACUACCUUGAGCGAUCGCAUGCGAGAAAGUGGACUCAAAAGUACUGAAAAGGCAGCCACUCGGGCCUACUUCCAGAAACAGACCCCAAGUGGGAAGUGAGAGUGGCGGUGACCUUUCAUCUUCCGUAAAGCCCCCCUCGUUACGAUAUGGUGGAGGUCCCCUUCGGUUCUCUAGGUUCUGGGAUUGCUCUUGGUUUCGAUAACGUGUUCUCCCAUCUCUCAUCUCUUCUUCUUCUUCUUUUUUCUCUUCCUCUGGGCAUUUCAUACCUUGCAAGUACUGAUAUACCCAAUAACAUCAUAAAACAACAAAUCUCAGAGUGUUUUAGGCAACUCUACCUUUUCAGCCCAUGAAAUAUCUCCGAAGUGGCAAGUCACAUAAGAAGCCAUCCAGUUUGCUGUGCCAUUGAUCUUUCUAAACACAUGUUUAGCUUGAAAGACCACUUCAUCACUCACCAUCGCCCAAAUAUUCCGAAGCAGGAGAUGUCUCCAUCUCUCGUCCACCUCACAUCGGGAGACUAAAAGCUCCCUUGCAUACACAUCUUUCUUUUCUUUGCUCUCAGUAGGGAGGACAAGAUUAUUUUUGAUCCACAGGAGACAGAUAAUUAGAUAUUAACAGCAAAAAGAUCUGCAUAUGAGUAAAGUUGGAUUAGGCAACACUAACGAGAGCUAUGUUUUUAAACAAAACAUUGUGUUCAUGAGUUCAUCAUAGCGUUCAACAAAAGAUGAAAUGGGGGAGAUGAGAACAUCUUGAAGGAAAGCUUCACAAUUCUGAAUAGUGAGAAAUACUUUUUAAAAUUUGAUCAAAAAUAAAUCAACACGUGUAAUUGAUCUUUUAAAAUUUCCCUAAAGAGAGAGCCCGAAUCUAAAGCUGUUUGGCGUUCCAACCAGAUACUGAAACUUGUAGAGAAGAAAAUAAANN